CGCCUGGGGAGUACGGCCGCAAGGUUAAAACUCAAAUGAAUUGACGGGGGCCCGCACAAGCGGUGGAGCAUGUGGUUUAAUUCGAUGCAACGCGAAGAACCUUACCUGGUCUUGACAUCCACAGAACUUUCCAGAGAUGGACUGGUGCCUUCGGGAACCGUGAGACAGGUGCUGCAUGGCUGUCGUCAGCUCGUGUUGUGAAAUGUUGGGUUAAGUCCCGCAACGAGCGCAACCCUUAUCCUUUGUUGCCAGCGAUUAGGUCGGGAACUCAAAGGAGACUGCCAGUGAUAAACUGGAGGAAGGUGGGGAUGACGUCAAGUCAUCAUGGCCCUUACGACCAGGGCUACACACGUGCUACAAUGGCGCAUACAAAGAGAAGCGACCUCGCGAGAGCAAGCGGACCUCAUAAAGUGCGUCGUAGUCCGGAUUGGAGUCUGCAACUCGACUCCAUGAAGUCGGAAUCGCUAGUAAUCGUGGAUCAGAAUGCCACGGUGAAUACGUUCCCGGGCCUUGUACACACCGCCCGUCACACCAUGGGAGUGGGUUGCAAAAGAAGUAGGUAGCUUAACCUUCGGGAGAGCGCUUACCACUUUGUGAUUCAUGACUGGGGUGAAGUCGUAACAAGGUAACCGUAGGGGAACCUGCGGUUG
rnacentral:rRNA from 1 species